GACAGAGGCAGCCAGUCUUUCGGAGGCUUCCUUGGGAGGAGGGGGCCACUGUGGCUGCUGGGCUGGAGAGAGGCCUGCCGGGGCUGCCCAUUGGCCGACAAACGUUCUGGGACCUUGUGAGGUCACAGAGGCUCCCUUGGAGUUCCUGCCUGGCUGGAGGCCUGGCGUGUUUUCAGGGCUCCUGGGGAUGGUGAGAGGUUGGGCUCAGGGCUCCAGGAUGCAACUGGCCUGCCUGUUCAUCGUAAGCGUCCUCUCCUUGGCUUCACUGAGAAUGAGCAGGGUAGAGGCCUCAAGAGCUCAUCCAACCAAUUUUGAGUUCCACCCAGAACAUAAAAAGAAAAUAGUUGCCUCUCCGAAAGAUGCCUGGAAGGAGGAGGAGGAGGAGGAGGACAGAGAAGAAGGAUUCCGUGAGCGGAUUGUUCGAAGAGCCGUGAGGAAGUAUCCUGAAGAUGCUGGAGACCACGUGGAAGCUGGCCAUCGGCAAAUCUCCAUCCCCAUGGGCCGAGCUGAGGGCAGCUGUCCUGAAGUGCUGGCCAAAGGGACCCUGGCAGUGAUUGUGGCCGCCUUGGCCUUCUUGGGCUUCUUUUCCACUUCUGUCCUUCUGGUGGUGGCGGUCUGCGUCUUGCGGAUGGUGGAGAAGCAAAGGAAAACAGGGAAGGACGGGAAAACCAGCUAUCCUUCUUCCAGGAGACCUCUCCCUCCUAUCCCACCUCCUCGCCCAGAGCGUACAUACAUGACCAUGAAGCCACAUGGCUCUGAUCGCCUCUGUCCAGCCACCCCGCACACCACAGAGGAUGCCUACCUGAGUGUCAAUGAGCUGAAUCCUGGUCCCAGAACCCGUCAGAAUCUCCAUUACCAGAACCCGGGCGCGUCAUCGCCACCCAAGACCCCCGUGGAGAGGGAGUACAUAAUUCCUGAAAAGGUGCAGCCCUUUUCAAGGUAAGUGUAAGUGAUCUAGGAUGAAAUUUUAAAUUCUCCAACAAAUGAGGUCAUGGCUAAGGCACUGCUUGCCUAUUUAGGACAUCCAUCGUUUAAAAAAGGAUCACACGAGCUGACCUCGUGUAGAAGAAGAAACUAAAAAUUUUUACUGAAAAAUGUUCAGUGUUUUCUUCUCUGUCAAUGUGCCUGACCUCUUAAGGAAACCUUGCAUGUAUGUGCACUUGUACUUGUGAGCUACUAGGUAGACUUCCUCUGUGCUCUGCUCCUGGGGAGCCUGUUUGGAUCUGGACUGCAUAGCUGGAACUGGCAGCUUUAGCCACAGCAAUUUAGAGCUCCAUGUCCAGUAGCCACCCAUCAGCAGCCCUCCCUCAGCAAAGAAGUAUGUGAAUGUGGAAGAGUCGGAGCCUACAGCUGUAACGGGAGGCUCUCCAGAGAUUGGGAUGACACCUCGAGA